rnacentral:rRNA from 1 species
GUAAGGAAUAUUGGACAAUGGACGAAAGUCUGAUCCAGCCAUGCCGCGUGAAGGAUUAAGGUCCUCUGGAUUGUAAACUUCUUUUAUUUGGGACGAAAAAAGAUCAUUCUUGAUCACUUGACGGUACCAGAUGAAUAAGCACCGGCUAACUCCGUGCCAGCAGCCGCGGUAAUACGGAGGGUGCAAGCGUUAUCCGGAUUCACUGGGUUUAAAGGGUGCGUAGGCGGGUUUGUAAGUCAGUGGUGAAAUACUGGAGCUUAACUCCAGAACUGCCAUUGAUACUAUAAGUCUUGAAUAUUGCGGAGGUAAGCGGAAUAUGUCAUGUAGCGGUGAAAUGCUUAGAUAUGACAUAGAACACCCAUUGCGAAGGCAGCUUACUACACAUAUAUUGACGCUGAGGCACGAAAGCGUGGGGAUCAAACAGGAUUAGAAACCCUAGUAGUCC